rnacentral:rRNA from 1 species
GAUGAACGCUGGCGGCGUGCCUAAUACAUGCAAGUCGAGCGAACGGACGAGAAGCUUGCUUCUCUGAUGUUAGCGGCGGACGGGUGAGUAACACGUGGAUAACCUACCUAUAAGACUGGGAUAACUUCGGGAAACCGUAGCUAAUACCGGAUAAUAUUUUGAACCGCAUGGUUCAAAAGUGAAAGACGGUCUUGCUGUCACUUAUAGAUGGAUCCGCGCUGCAUUAGCUAGUUGGUAAGGUAACGGCUUACCAAGGCAACGAUGCAUAGCCGACUUGAGAGGGUGAUCGGCCACACUGGAACUGAGACACGGUCCAGACUCCUACGGGAGGCAGCAGUAGGGAAUCUUCCGCAAUGGGCGAAAGCCUGACGGAGCAACUCCGCGUGAGUGAUGAAGGUCUUCGGAUCGUAAAACUCUGUUAUUAGGGAAGAACAUAUGUGUAAGUAACUGUGCACAUCUUGACGGUACCUAAUCAGAAAGCCACGGCUAACUACGUG